ensembl:lncRNA LINC00944 long intergenic non-protein coding RNA 944
CUUGCCGCAGCACACUCUCUAAUCGAGCUGUAACACUCGCCACUGCCGUCCACGGCUUCAUUCCUUGAAGCCGUGAGACCACGAACCCUUCGAUUGAGAAGAACCUUCGGUCGGAAGAAGACUUCUCGUCUCAGUAACAAUAACAAGAAAAACAGCCUAGACUAGACGCACAUCAGGAAGACAGUGUCGGCCACAGCCGCAGAAUAAACAUGUGGAGAAGGUCAUUGAUCACCUUGACUGAAGCACUGCAGACAAGAUAAAGACAGCCUGAUGCAGAGGAAGAUUGAGGACUAAGGGGCUUCAUCCACAGAUGGCAUUUUCCAGACAGGGUGGCUCUCUCUGUUAGCGGGCAGGACCUUCUGUUACUUGGAUCAUUCUAUAACAACAUUUAGAAGCAGUGGAAUAAAAUUGCAAAAUGAAA